UCAUUGGACAGAGCUGCUACUGGAG
rnacentral:piRNA from 1 species